UACGUAGGGGGCAAGCGUUGUCCGGAAUCAUUGGGCGUAAAGCGCGUGUAGGCGGCCAUGUAAGUCCGUUCUGAAAGCCCGGGGCUCAACCCCGGGAGGCGGAUGGAUACUGCAUGGCUCGAGUACGGAAGAGGCGAGUGGAAUUCCCGGUGUAGCGGUGAAAUGCGCAGAUAUCAGGAGGAACACCGAUGGCGAAGGCAGGUCUCUGGGCAUUAACUGACGCUGAGGAGCGAAAGCAUGGGGAGCGAACAGG
rnacentral:rRNA from 1 species